AAAAGUUUAAUUUUAGCUUAAGGAUUUUCUUUAUUUUUAAUUUUAUAUGUAAUUUUUAAUUUGGAUUAUACUUUUAUUAAAUAUAAAGGAUAUUUUUUUUAAUCGCAGUAUAAGAUAUUAAUUAUUAAGGAAACUUUGAAUUGGUAAUAAAUUUAAAGAUUAACAAAAUUUGUGCCAGCAGUUGCGGUUAUACAAAUAAUUUAAGUUAAUUAUUUUGGAAAUAGUAAAUUUAAUAUUAUAUUAAUUUUAAUUAUAUUUUUUAAGUGAAAUUUUAAAAUAUAUGAUGUUAAUAAUAAAUUUUAUGAAUCUAAUAAAUUUAAUUUAAAAACUAGGAUUAGAUACCCUAUUAUUUUAAACUUAAUAAAUUUUUCAAAUUAGUAAAAGUUAUGGUCUCUAAAAUUAAAAAAUUUGGCGGUAUUUUAAUCUUUUCAGAGGAACCUGUUCUGUAAUUGAUACUCCACGAUUAAUUUUACUUUCUUUAUAAAUUUAUAUAUCGUCGUUAUUUGAAUAUUUUAAAAGAAAUUUUAAUAUUCAUAAUUUUUUAUAAAAAAAUAAAUCAGAUCAAGGUGUAGUUUAUAAGAAAGAAGAAAUGGGUUACAAUAAAAUUAUUUUUGGAAUUAAUGAUGAAAUUCAUUAAAUAAAAUGGAUUUGAAAGUAAUUUUUUAUAUUUAUAAAUUAUGACUAAAGUUCUAAAAUAUGCACAUAUUGCCCGUCGCUUUUGUUAUUAAAAUGAAAUAAGUCGUAACAAAGUAGAUUUACUGGAAAGUGAAUCUGGAAAAUUC
rnacentral:ncRNA from 1 species